GGAUAUAGCUCAGUUGGUAGAGUAUUUAUCUCGCAAGCACAGGGCCCUGGGUUCAAUCCCCAGCACCA
rnacentral:tRNA from 1 species